rnacentral:rRNA from 1 species
CCUACGGGUGGCAGCCGUGGGGGAUAUUGCACAAUGGGGGAAACCCUGAUGCAGCGACGCCGCGUGUGGGAAGACGGUCCUCUGGAUUGUAAACCACUGUCCCCAGGGACGAAAAUGACGGUACCUGGGGAGGAAGCUCCUGCUAACUACGUGCCAGCAGCCGAGGUAAUACGUAGGGACCGAGCGUUGUCCGGAAUUACUGGGUGUAAAGGGAGCGUUGGCGGGGAUGCAAGUUGGGUGUCAAAACUACCGGCUCAACUGGGAGUCGCACUCAAAACUGCAGCUCUUGAGUGACGUAGAGGCAGGCGGAAUUCCUAGUGUAGCGGUGAAAUGCGUAGAUAUUAGGAGGAACACCAGUGGCGAAGGCGGCCUGCUGGGCUUUUACUGACGCUGAGGCUCGAAAGUGUGGGGAGCAAACAGGAUUAGAUACCCGUGUAGUC